AAUCAUACUGCGGGAGGGGGUCACAGAGUCUACGUGAGAAUUCGCGAUCCAAUGAGUAAAGGGGAUAAGUUUCCAAAGAAACUGUGAUGCUGCGUCGAUGGGAGUAACAAGGUUCUGUUGCCGAGCAAAUCGACGAUCGAACGAAUCAGCGGAGUGACCUCUGGCAGAUUGUCGGUGUGAUGGAAAGAGGUGGUCCAGGAGGAUUUCUGUAGCACAAAGCCUUGCACUAAUGGCUGAGACCAAACACAUUGAAGCCUUGCAGGCUGAGAAAUUUUGUCAACAUGUGAUUUAUCAUAGAGGAAGACCUAUGGUCAUCACUUUGUUCCAUCUGGUAAACUGAUGUGAGGUCACUGACCUGUAGCAGAAAUCCUCAACUCACUCUUUAUAUACCUUUCAGAAAAAAAGAAUGGCAAGAUUUGUUUUUGAUUUGAUUUUAUCAAAGAGACAGAGCAGUUUCUGAUAGUAAUUUAUGAUGUAAUUAGGUUGAAAUUUUUCAUUGAACUUGUGGAAAUAAAGAUUUGAUAAAUUGUA